GCGUCCUUAGUUCAGCUGGUAGAACGCAGGUCUCCAAAACCUGAUGUCGUAGGUUCAAUUCCUACAGGGCGUG
rnacentral:tRNA from 1 species